rnacentral:rRNA from 1 species
GAUGAACGCUGGCGGCGUGCCUAAUACAUGCAAGUCGAGCGAACGGACGAGAAGCUUGCUUCUCUGAUGUUAGCGGCGGACGGGUGAGUAACACGUGGAUAACCUACCUAUAAGACUGGGAUAACUUCGGGAAACCGGAGCUAAUACCGGAUAAUAUUUUGAACCGCAUGGUUCAAAAGUGAAAGACGGUCUUGCUGUCACUUAUAGAUGGAUCCGCGCUGCAUUAGCUAGUUGGUAAGGUAACGGCUUACCAAGGCAACGAUGCAUAACCGACCUGAGAGGGUGCUCGGCCACCCGGGAACUGAGACACGGUCCAGACUCCUACGGGAGGCAGCAGUAGGGAAUCUUCCGCGAUGGGCGAAAGCCUGACGGAGCAACGCCGCGGGAGUGAUGAAGGUCUUCGGAUCGUAAAACUCUGUUAUUAGGGAAGAACAUAUGUGUAAGUAACUGUGCACAUCUUGACGGUACCUAAUCAGAAAGCCACGGCUAACUACGUG